UACGGAGGGGACUAGCGUUGUUCGGAAUUACUGGGCGUAAAGCGCACGUAGGCGGAUUUGUAAGUCAGGGGUGAAAGCCCGGGGCUCAACCCCGGAAUUGCCUUUAAGACUGCAUCGCUUGAAUCCGGGAGAGGUGAGUGGAAUUCCGAGUGUAGAGGUGAAAUUCGUAGAUAUUCGGAAGAACACCAGUGGCGAAGGCGGCUCACUGGACCGGUAUUGACGCUGAGGUGCGAAAGCGUGGGGAGCAAACAGG
rnacentral:rRNA from 1 species